UUUUUUUUUUUUUUUUUUUUCCUAGUCUGUACUUUGGGGCACAUGGACCAUUUUGCUGUAUCCUGCUUCAGGGGAAAGUCUCAAUACCAAGACCACACCUGGAAAGGGCGUAGUUAGCUGUCUUCUCAUCCUGACUGUGGAUUGUGGUUUCCUCUUAUCCCCUGAGAGCAGGGAAGCUGCAGAUGUAGAUUACAAAAUUACUUUUUCAGUUUUCGGUUUUCUUUAUUCUUCCUGAUCCUUGGCAAUUUUCUUUGGAGGCUUAUUGAGAUCAUUUGUGAAUUUUAAAGGCUGUUUGUUGUAUUUUAUCUAACAUUUCUAGUUAUUUAUAUAGAGUGUUUUUCAAAGGAUGUGUUUUUUCUAGAAAACCAUUUCAAGGUACAGGUACUAGUUCAGCCCUGUCUUAAAGAGAUACCUCAUUGAAUUAUUAUAGAUUUAAAUAGGAUCUAAUACAUCAUUUUCUCCAUAACUAUUUCUUUUGUAAAGUAGAAUUCUUUUCCAUUUGUAAGAUAAUAAGCUCUCUAUCAACUUACUUAGAAUAAUCAGCUACCAACAAAGGCAAAUAACAAAACUACAUUGAUAAAAAGAUGUCCAAGUACAUACUAUGAUUCCAUUUCUAUGCAGUUUAAGAACAUACACAACCAGUCAGUGGUUAUAGAAGUCAGAAUGGUAGUUACCUCUGCAGUUAUUGACUGGGAAGGGGUUUGAGGGAACUCCUGGGGUGCUUCAAUCAAGAUGAUCAAGGUGUUAACAUGUGUAAAACUCAUCAAGCAGUAUGCUUAAGAUUAUGGUAUUUUAUGCUAUAUACAUUAGAGAUCAAUUUUAAAAAAAGAUGUCCAAGGUGUCUUUGACAAACCAUACUCAGAAAUUUUAGAGCCAUUAGAUUGAUCCUAAUCUAGCUGUUUUUACUUUAACUUAAAAUUUGUUAACUAUUUUCUCAUUAUAAAUCCCAACAUUGUAAAAAUUAAUUACUUUUAGAAGUGGAGGCUGAAACAAGUAUUUUACAUAAACCGAUAUUCUUCCUAAUCAGGCCACCACAAAUAUUAUUAAUCCAUCCCAGUUAGUUUUCUCCUGUUUCUGUGCAAAGCCCUAUCCUUCUGAACGUGCCAGUCUGACAGCCACCACCAAUCAAUUAGGGUUGGAAAGUGAGAACAGCCUCACUUGGGAUGCCUGAACAGGAUGACCUUUAGGGGCCGACCAAUCUUAUAUUUUCUGUCUGUGAGUGACUCAUUUCGUUCUGCUAUCUGUAGACUAAACAGGCAACCUUCAAGAGAAAGUGAAUAUUCACAAUGACCUUCUGCUCUUCAACGCAAGACUUGUUCAUAUAUCUAUAGUGGUUUGUUAACUGUCUGUCCUCAUAGGAAUUUGUUCUUAGAAUCCAGCGUACUACUGGUUUCUCUUAAAAUUUUGUCAUUUACAGGAUGCUCAUUAUAUUGACUUAAAUUCCAGUAAACUAUAGAGGAAUUUAAAGAAAAAAAAAAAAAAAACUAACAACAAAAUCAGUGCUUCAUCAUUUACAACCAUCUGAGAACACUGUGAUCCAAUCCAAGGUUUGCACCAAUUACAUCAGUAUAAGCUGCUUUCCUCUUUCUCUGUUUUCACCAGAAGCUCUGCACAUCUAUAUCAAACAUCAGAGGUAUUUAUUACAUACUUAGCAAGGGCAAUAGAUGUAUGGAAGGGAAGUGGCAGAAAGCAGUGGUAAAGAAGGAGUAUCUGGCCUCUUUCACUGUGCUGGGUUUGUGAUAUCAAAUAGUUAGAAGACUUGAACCUUUAAUCAAUCAAUUACUUGCUCGAAUUUCUUUUCAAGGAAGAUCUCAGAGAAGGAUCAAAUUUCAGCAUCAACUGAUUUUGUCUUUGGUUCCUUUUGUUGAAGUCCGUGCUUUUCCAUGAAAAAGAAUUAAUCCUUAAAAACUGACUCUAAUAUUGAUACAUCCUUACAUUCCUUUUAUGUUCAUGCAUAUCAUCUUUUUCUUUUUGCCAUUUCUUGGGCCACUCCCGCAGCAUAUUGAGGUUCCCAGGCUAGGGGUCGAAUCGGAGCUGUAGCCACUGGCCUACGCCAAAGCCAUAGCAACGUGGGAUCCGAGCCACGUCUGUGACCUACACCACAGCUCAUGGCAACCCCAGAUCCUUAACCCACUGAGCAAGGCCAGGGAUUGAACCCUCAACCUCAUGGUUCCUAGUCAGGUUCGUCGACCACUGAGCCAUGACGGGAACUCCCAUGCAUAUCAUCUUUUGAAAGAAAAAUGCUCAGUAGAAAACUGCAUUUAUUGAAUAAUACAUAUUUUGCCAAUUUUUACAAACCACAGAAUGUUGUUUUAGUUUGAGUUCAUACAAAAAGAGUCUAGGAACAGGAUCUGAGUACUGAGUGUACCAUUCAUGUCAUUGUUGGUUGUGUCAGAUGUAUGUUAUCACAUGUGAUCCCACAUCAAACCAUGUAUAGACCAGGAGACCAAGUUUCAGAGAGAAAAAAAUGUGACAAAGUCAUAAUUCUAACUCAACUGUGUGUGUGCUCAGGUAACUCAGCGUUGUUCCAAGAGCUCCAUGUUUAUCCUGGACCAGCUUUGUGGUAUGUGACCUUGGGCAAAUCACUCAACCUAUGCGACCCUUAGUAUCCUCAACUGCUUCAACGUAAUCUCUGCUUUGCCUGUCGGAUAGGGUAUUUUAAAGACCAAAACCGUCAAUGAGCCUAUUUGAUACUUAACUUGGGACAGCUAUUUAAAACAAACAAACAAAAAAACAAUUUUAACAAUUUUAAACAAACAAUUGGAUUGCAUUUGCCCUGGAUCAUCUCAGUGUUGAAAGUUCCUACUGCCCCAUCUAUCACUGAUUUUUGUCAAGGGUGUGCUGUGUGCUUCUGGAUCUUUUGCAACAGGGUUCACAGCUUCAAAAACAAGGGAGAAGACAAACUUGGUUCCAUUAUAGUUUUGUUGUGAACUGCACAUAGACACUGAUUUAUGUCUAUAUGUGAGUAAAGAGGUCAGUUUAACUAAACAAGGGACAAAAUAGGGGCCAUUCAGCCACUGAUGCCUGAACCUCUGGCCUGCUGCUAUGAAAAUACAUCUACUUUCUCAGGGUGAUCCCCCAACCCCCCAUCACUUAGGAUCCAGCAGCCUCUGCCUGUCUGUCCUAGAUUUCUUUCUUUAACAACAGGUGCCUGCAUUACUGAGAGAUAGUUUUAUUGCAUCUUGAUGUCAUGACUGCAGCUGCUAGUAUAUAAAUAAACUGGAGGCCACCAGAGGGCUUUUUAAAAAUCUAAGACCUAUAAGGAAGAAAUGUCUUAAUAUGUUUUAUAUUUUUAACAGAGAAGGAAACUGAAAACUUAUAAUGAAACUGAUUUUUAGCAUUUCAACUAAGAUUCCAUGUCAGUAAGUUCUUUGUAGAUACCAUGUGACCAUCAGAGGAGGAAUAAACUAAGUAUGGACCAUGCUCAUGUGAAUUAAACUACAAUAGCCACUUAAUUUUUUAUGAGUGUGUAAAUUUCACUUCAAUAGUAUCACUUCUUGAUUUCCUUCUUUUUCUCCUUUCUGACUUUCUUACCAUGUAACACAGAGAAAUUACGAUUAUUAAGGGGUCAGUCCAUUUGUGGGCAGAGAAAAUCCUGAAACUCUCCAGUUAAACAAAACAUUUCUCAUUUGGAUUAAAUGAAGUGAGAGAAGAAAGGAUGAAACCCUUGGAAAACUGCUGUGUGUGCAUUACCAAGGUUCUUUUUUUCCUCUGUGUGUGUGUGUGUGUGUGUGUGUGUGUGCGCGCGCGCACGUAUAUAUUUUUUUCUCUCUCUUCUUCGUUGCUGAAAUUGUGAGAUUGAAUUUGAUGGUGCCAUCUCAAGUCUGUAAUUAAUAGGAAAAUUAGCUAUGGCUUUGGGGAGUUUUUGAAGACUGGAUACAACCAUGGAGUAUAACACUCUGCUACCAUUCAGUUUUUGAGAAUGGAAGAAACUGAAUUUUAAGUAACUCAAUACCUCCUUUUCAGCACUUGUUUAAUAGUACAUGUCCUUUAACCAAAGAACACAGAUGGUACAAUGAGGUUUUAAUUAGAUUUCGCGUUGGAUCCAAUUAGCUACAGUUGCAAAUGUAAAAUCUAAAAUAGAGCAUUAAGAAAUAACUUUAUCGAGUCACUUCAAUUUGUUAGGUCACUGGCCUUCCUGGAUUGCAGCGGACAUACAGCUCAAGAUAACAGCAUCAUGAAUUCCUAUUUAAAACAUAUGUCAGUGGGGAGUUCCCAUCAUGGCUUAGGAUCCUCCCUGACUAGGCUCCAUGAGGAUAUGGGUUUGAUCCCUGGCCUCUUUCAGUGGGUUAAGGAUCCAGAGUUGCUGUGAGCUGUGGUGUAGGUGGCAGACAUGGCUCAGAUCCUGCGUUGCUGUGGCUGGGGUGUAGGCUGGCAGCUACAAUUCUGAUUUGACCCCUAACCUGGAAACUCCCAUGUGCUGCAAGUGCAGCCCUAGAAAGCAAACAAAACAAAAACCAACCAACCAAACAAACAAAACAUAUGCCAGUGGUUAAAAUUGUGUCUGAUGUAUAGGUUCAGAAAUGGUCUUUCUCAACUUCUCUACUUAUGAAAAUAUGAAUAAAGAUGAAAAUCUCCCCAACACACUGAAAGGAAAGCUUAUUCCAGAGUUUGGACAGAAUUUAUUCUAACAAUGAGGUCAGUUGGGCUGGAAUAGAAAUUAAAACACAGCCAUAGACAUAUCUGAAGUGCACCUCAUGACAUAAGUAGUCUUUUCUUCACAAAAGAGAAUUUGGGAGGUGGGUGAGUAACAGUGCAAGAGUAAGAAAGAUGAUUGGUACAUCUCCCAUGGUUUCACCUUGAUGAAAUAAUCAAAAUUAAAUAAUAAAAAAUAACAUGACCAUUAGACCUCCCCUACUCUUUCUCCUAAUAUGUGCAAAUUUUUGAGAUGUUUGAACAUUGUUAUGUCUCAAGAGUGCCUCUUACCUCCAAUGCCCUCAUUUUCACUUUAAAAAAUAUUAAUUUGGAGUACACUUGUGAUGCAGUGGGUAAGGAUCUGGCAUUGUCACUGCAGUAGCUUGGGUUGCUGCUGUGGCAUGGGUUUGAUCCCUGGCCCAGGAACUUCUACAUGACAUGGGUGUGGCCAAAAAAAAAAUUCAAAG
ensembl:lncRNA